AGACCGUUGAGCAAACUGCUUUUAGAUCCUGAAACUGAAAUUAGGAUUUUGCUCAAGCCAUUCCUCCAACUUUUGAAUGAGGCAAAUGGAGUGAAAAGUGCAUGGAGCAGGGGGAGGAAGGUGUCCACAACCCUUUCUGAAGAGAGAAGCACUACUCUGUCUUGUCCCUGCAUGACCAUGUCUGCCCAAUGACACCGUGGUGAAACAACUGUGUACUUGCGUACUUCAUUUUGGACCAAGACCUUCUGGAUUUGUACGACUAGACAUCUUUGGAAGACCUCCUUCCUCUUCCUUUGCCAUACCUAGCUAGCCUCUAUCUUCUGGAAAAAGAAAUAAGCAGCAGGAUUGGUCUCAAGAGAAGUAUGUUCUCACUGUUUAGAUGAGUUUGAGUCACACCACUCUUCAAUUUUGGAAAACAUCUUACAUUAGCAUCUUGCCUAGGAAGGUUCUCACCACGGCUGAGCCCAAGAACAUGAGCUUUGGCCCACUGGGUCCAUUCUUUCAUUAAUGUCAGUUCAAUUACAGUCUAGGCCUUGGGUUUCAAAUACCGAAAAAAGUGCACAUAGG